UACGAGGGGGGCGAGCGUUGUCCGGAAUUAUUGGGCGUAAAGAGCUCGUAGGCGGCCUGUUGCGUCCGCUGUGAAAGCCCGGGGCUUAACCCCGGGUCUGCAGUGGAUACGGGCAGGCUAGAGGUAGGUAGGGGAGAAUGGAAUUCCCGGUGUAGCGGUGAAAUGCGCAGAUAUCGGGAGGAACACCGGUGGCGAAGGCGGUUCUCUGGGCCUUACCUGACGCUGAGGAGCGAAAGCGUGGGGAGCGAACAGG
rnacentral:rRNA from 1 species